CAGUGGCGAACGGGUGAGUAACACGUGAGCAACCUGCCCUGAACUCUGGGAUAAGCGCUGGAAACGGCGUCUAAUACUGGAUAUGAGCUGCGGAGGCAUCUUCGUGGUUGGAAAGAUUUUUCGGUUUGGGAUGGGCUCGCGGCCUAUCAGCUUGUUGGUGAGGUAAUGGCUCACCAAGGCGUCGACGGGUAGCCGGCCUGAGAGGGUGACCGGCCACACUGGGACUGAGACACGGCCCAGACUCCUACGGGAGGCAGCAGUGGGGAAUAUUGCACAAUGGGCGGAAGCCUGAUGCAGCAACGCCGCGUGAGGGAUGACGGCCUUCGGGUUGUAAACCUCUUUUAGCAGGGAAGAAGCGAAAGUGACGGUACCUGCAGAAAAAGCGCCGGCUAACUACGUGCCAGCAGCCGCGGUAAUACGUAGGGCGCAAGCGUUAUCCGGAAUUAUUGGGCGUAAAGAGCUCGUAGGCGGUUUGUCGCGUCUGCUGUGAAAACCCGAGGCUCAACCUCGGGCCUGCAGUGGGUACGGGCAGACUAGAGUGCGGUAGGGGAGAUUGGAAUUCCUGGUGUAGCGGUGGAAUGCGCAGAUAUCAGGAGGAACACCGAUGGCGAAGGCAGAUCUCUGGGCCGUAACUGACGCUGAGGAGCGAAAGGGUGGGGAGCAAACAGGCUUAGAUACCCUGGUAGUCCACCCCGUAAACGUUGGGAACUAGUUGUGGGGUCCAUUCCACGGAUUCCGUGACGCAGCUAACGCAUUAAGUUCCCCGCCUGGGGAGUACGGCCGCAAGGCUAAAACUCAAAGGAAUUGACGGGGACCCGCACAAGCGGCGGAGCAUGCGGAUUAAUUCGAUGCAACGCGAAGAACCUUACCAAGGCUUGACAUACACGAGAACGCUGCAGAAAUGUAGAACUCUUUGGACACUCGUGAACAGGUGGUGCAUGGUUGUCGUCAGCUCGUGUCGUGAGAUGUUGGGUUAAGUCCCGCAACGAGCGCAACCCUCGUUCUAUGUUGCCAGCACGUAAUGGUGGGAACUCAUGGGAUACUGCCGGGGUCAACUCGGAGGAAGGUGGGGAUGACGUCAAAUCAUCAUGCCCCUUAUGUCUUGGGCUUCACGCAUGCUACAAUGGCCGGUACAAAGGGCUGCAAUACCGCGAGGUGGAGCGAAUCCCAAAAAGCCGGUCCCAGUUCGGAUUGAGGUCUGCAACUCGACCUCAUGAAGUCGGAGUCGCUAGUAAUCGCAGAUCAGCAACGCUGCGGUGAAUACGUUCCCGGGUCUUGUACACACCGCCCGUCAAGUCAUGAAAGU
rnacentral:rRNA from 1 species